rnacentral:lncRNA from 1 species
AGAAGUUCAGUGCGGAACCAGAUUUCAUCACCUGGAAACGGUGAAAGCUAAUUGUUUUACUACCAAGUGUUACCUUCUACAAUGGAUUACUAUGCAGCUGUAAAUAAGAACAGAGGCCAUGUGUACGACCCAUGUACUGCAGUCCCUGUGGAGGCGUGGCUGCAAAUCUAAUCAAGCGAGGAAGAAGCACUACCCACCACCGUGAAUACCUGUCAGCCAGUGGGUUACAGGUGUGAGUCACUGAGCAGGAAAAGGAUGCUUGUGAAGCCGUGCAAAGACGGGGCUGGAGCGGUGGAUUGCUGGCUAAGAGCUCUGGUGUUCUUGCAGAGGCCCUGAGCAUUUCCAGUGUCUACAUCACGUGACUCCCAGCUGCCUGGACCUCCAGAUCUAGAGGACCAGAACAAGACUGGCUCUAAUAUUGAAUUGAAUUUAGAAGAUUACCCCUCAUAUUGUCAAACCAAGGAGUCAGACACAAGUAACAAAAGAUACCUGUGGUUUUAUGUUCAUUUUGAGACGGGUUCCCAAGUAGUCCAGACUGGCCUUGAACUCACUGUGUGGCUGAGAAUGGCUUUGAAUUUCUGGUUUUCCUGCCUCUUUCUCCCAAGUGCUGCGAUCACAGACAUGUAGCGGCACACCCCGUUUAUGGAGAGCUGGAGAUUAGAUCCAGGGCCUUGUGUAUGUAUGCUAGGUAAGCACUCUACCAAGUGAGCCACGUCCCCAGCCCAAGACAUCUGGUUUGAACCAGAUCUUUUCAUUAGGUUAAGCAGGAAGGCAGCUUGCAACACAUGCAUGGGAAGUGUGCCAUCUUGGUUUAAUGAGUGGGUUUCUGCGGAUUGUUGAAACACUUCAACUUCCUUAACCCAGUAUCUGAUGAAGGAACAAGGAUAGAGAAAUUAAUUUACCACACACUAAUUAAAGGGGGGUGCGCACUGUAUACACAGUGAAAGUCUCUGGAAUAAAUAUUUGAUAAACAGUAUCUGGCAAAUUAAAAACCCGAAAUGUUAAAUUAAAUGCAAAUUAAAAAUCUGGAAUGUUAAAUUAAUUAAAUACAGAAAAUUGCAUCAAACAGCA